UCUGUGUGAAAAAAGUACAUAGUCUGGCCUGCCCACUGAGUAGUUUGAAGGGCCGCGGUAUUUGGACCGUGCUAAGGUAGCAUAAUAAAUAGUCUUUUAAUUGAAGUCUAGUAUGAAUGGUCGGACAGGAAGUGAGCUGUUUGCAACUAUAAAGUGUGAGUUUUACUUUUAAGUGAGAAGGCUUAAAUUGUGUGGUGGGACGAUAAGACCCUAUAAAGCUUUACAUUUUGACUGCUUUGUUGAAGAAUUUAAGGUGUUCUGUUCUUGGUAGUUAAGUGUUUCGUUGGGGCGACGAGAAUAUAAAUAGUAACUGUUUUUAUAGUAAAACAGAGUUUUUUGGGGGAGUUGAUCCUUUAUUAGGAUUAUAAGAAUAAAGUUACUUUAGGGAUAACAGCGUAAUUUUUCUUGAGAGUUCAUAUCGACAGAAGUAGUUGCGACCUCGAUGUUGAAUUAAGGUUUCCCCAAGGUGUAGCAGUUUUGGUGGUAGGUCUGUUCGACCUUUAAAGC
rnacentral:rRNA from 1 species